AGCUGCGUGGGAUAAAAAGGGCUGCAACCCGGAUAUCACGUCAGCGCUUGGAAACGUGCAGCAAUAUGGCUGGUUUUCACUUGCAGAUCCUGAGUGGCUCGCUCAGAAGGAGGCUUGCAGUGCUGCUGGCCUGCGAGGAGGUCCCCAGCAAGCAGGGACUAAGGAAGCGGCUGGAGGCGGGGGGAGCCGGGGGCUGCGGGUCCCCUGCCGCGCCGCGGGGCCGGCGGUACCUGCGCGGGAGGCGGCUCCCCGCUCCACAACUGCUCCCUGAGGAGGUGCUGGUAGCUGAGGCAGUGCUUCAGCGCCGACGGCACCGUGCCCAUGGCCAGGCCCGGCCCGGCCCGGCUCCGCUCGCGCCGCCAGCUCAGCGCAUCCUCCCGGCCCCGCAGCGCCGCAGCCCGUGGCAGGAGCGCGGCGCCUCCCAUUGGCCGAGCGCGGGGACCCGCCCCGCUUCGCCCCGCCCCUGCCGGGGUUGCCGCGGACUGAGCGGAGAGCGCUCCUCGCCGCCCUGCAACCCCGCGGCCCGCCCUCUUGCCCACGCACCUGAAGAGCAGCCACCGACCAGUCCGGGCUCCUCCUAGGCCCGCAGCCCUCGUACGUCGCUGCGAGGCUGGCACAAUUGUGCUGGGGGGCUGCAAGCAACCUGGGCCCAGUCGCCGGUCCUUGAUGAUAUCUCCAGUGUCCAAGCGUGGCACGAGGGCAGCAGACGGGUCCUUGUGUUUUCUAAUCCCAGCCCUGGUGGUUUUGGAGAUGAGUGAGGACACUGCCUCGAGGGCAGGGCCUCCAGAGCCUUCCCCCAACUUGAGAUAUUAGGAAGGCUUGACAAGAUAGAUUCAGCUUGCUGACCGCUAUCACCUCCUUCCUAAAUCUGGUUGCCAAAUGAAACAGUUUGAUAGCAGCUGGCCAUUGUUGUGAGGGGGGAUUCUUGUAAAAUUGCUCUAAUGAUUUAACAAAAGUAAUAAAGUGUAUUUCUGUUUUGCAUGGUC